rnacentral:rRNA from 1 species
GCGGUGUAAAAUGAGCUUGCGUCCUAUUAGCUAGUUGGUGAGGUAAUGGCUCACCAAGGCUACGAUGGGUAGGGGUUCUUAGUGGAAGGUCCCCCACACUGGCACUGAGAUACGGGCCAGACUCCUACGGGAGGCAGCAGUAGGGAAUAUUGGUCAAUGGGCGCAAGCCUGAACCAGCCAUGCCGCGUGCAGGAUGAAGGCUCUCUGAGUUGUAAACUGCUUUUGUACAGGAGCAAAAAAAUCCCUGCGGGGGUUCUUGAGAGUACUGUAAGAAUAAGCACCGGCUAAUUCCGUGCCAGCAGCCGCGGUAAUACGGGAGGUGCAAGCGUUAUCCGGUUUUAUUGGGUUUAAAGGGUGCGUAGGCGGCUUAUUAAGUCAGUUGUGAAAUCCUAGUGCUUAACGCUAGAACUGCGAUUGAUACUAUUAGGCUUGAGUUAAAGGAGAGGU